rnacentral:rRNA from 1 species
UGGGGAAUCUUGCGCAAUGGGCGAAAGCCUGACGCAGCAACGCCGCGUGCGGGAUGAAGGCCCUCGGGUCGUAAACCGCUUUCAGCAGGGAUGAAAUUGACAGUACCUGCAGAAGAAGCCCCGGCUAAAUACGUGCCAGCAGCCGCGGUAAUACGUAUGGGGCAAGCGUUAUCCGGAUUCAUUGGGCGUAAAGAGCGCGUAGGCGGCUUGUUAAGCGAGAUGUGAAAACCGAGGGCUCAACCCGCGGCUUGCAUCUCGAACUGGCAGGCUUGAGUCUGGUAGAGGAAAGUGGAAUUCCUGGUGUAGCGGUGAAAUGCGCAGAUAUCAGGAGGAACACCAGUGGCGAAGGCGGCUUUCUGGGCCACGACUGACGCUGAGGCGCGAAAGCUAGGGGAGCGAACA